GGACACCUGUUGGUGCACGUCAACCUCUCGCCUGAAUAAAUUCGAAGACUUCAAGGGAGUAUCUCAUAAGGCUAAUGGUUCAGACAGGAAGACAUCCUUAACAUUAGCAAUCAUUGGACUGAUUUGUUUCCAUUUGCAUUUGUAAUUUCUUUGUUGAUUAAAUGCUACUUGCUUUUAAAUUUUGCUGUCUUUAAUGGUAAUAUUAAUGAAGUAAUGACGCAUGUUUUGAACAAAUUAUCUCGCAUUCGCUCAUUUUUC
rnacentral:lncRNA from 1 species